rnacentral:rRNA from 1 species
ACGAUUAAAGCACCUUCGGGUGUGUAUAAAGUGGCGAACGGCUGAGUAACACGUGGGCAACCUGCCCCUCUCAUUGGGAUAGCCACGGGAAACCGUGGAUAAUACCGAAUACUUCGAGUCUCUCGCAUGGAAGACUCGAGAAGGCUCCGGCGGAGAGGGAUGGGCCCGCGGCCUGUUAGCUUGUUGGUGGGGUAACGGCCUACCAAGGCAAUGAUGGGUAGCUGGGUUGAGAGACCGACCAGCCAGAUUGGGACUGAGACACGGCCCAGACUCCUACGGGAGGCAGCAGUGGGGAAUCUUGCACAAUGGGCGAAAGCCUGAUGCAGCGACGCCGCGUGCGGGAUGAAGGCCUUCGGGUUGUAAACCGCUUUCAGCAGGGACGAGGCGAAAGUGACGGUACCUGCAGAAGAAGCCCCGGCUAACUACGUGCCAGCAGCCGCGGUAAUACGUAGGGGGCAAGCGUUAUCCGGAUUCAUUGGGCGUAAAGCGCUCGUAGGCGGUCUGUUAGGUCGGGAGUUAAAUCCGGGGGCUCAACCCCCGCUCGCUCCCGAUACCGGCAGACUUGAGUUUGGUAGGUGAAGG